AACUAGCACUUUGUAAAUAAAUGAAAACAUAGGCUGGAAUUUCAACAGAAUUUUCAAUUUUAGCUCAAUUUUAAUUUUGCUUUGAUGGAAUCCUGGUCUUCAGCAAUUUUUCUUAGUGGUUUUCUGCUUCAGACCUAAAGCGAGUAUUCCAAUGCACAUCACCCCGGAAGGAGGAGUGGCUGGAAACCAGGGCAGUGGGUUAGAUGGCAUGACUGGCAGCUCAGGAGCCCUUAACAACAGCUCUGCAUCUCCCUGACAGCCAUCACUUAAUGCUUCAUUCUGGACUUCAGCCCGGACCACUAGCAGCCUGUCCUGAGUGUGCAGUUACAGGUGGGAAUUACUUGCCUAAGCAGAAAAAGAAGGGAAUAAGGAGAGAGGCAGAUGUACCUGAAGUGAAUUGCAAAAAGAUCUGACAACCCCCACCAGAAAUAGAAGUACUUUCUAUAUAUAUAUUUUGAUAUGCAGUGCAAUUUUUUUUACCUCCUAUUUCUCAAACCAUUUCAUUUUCAUUCAGAACAAUUCUUAUUCAUUUACAUGUCAUUAUACAAUGCUGAUAGUAUGUUUAGUGACAAGAAUCACAUAAGCCUGCAGGUUCAGCAACAGUUCAACUAACAGAUAGAUAUUUGUUCCUUCUUAAUGGCAUUAAUUAGGGAGACAUUUGGCUUUUAGUGCACAUUAUUCAUGCUCAAUUAUGGUAGAAUAGAUAGAGAAUUGAAAGACACAAUCACAUCUGUGUUCCUGAAUGAAGAGUCUUUGUGACAUACUUACAGAGAUUGAAGUGUCAUCCAAGUGAAUCAAUUAUAACAAUCAGUUUCCCAAUUCAAUCUGGCAAUUAUUUGCUUUAUGGAAUAGCCAGCUUUGAUUUUGUUUACAGAUUUUAUAAAAACUUUGCAACACAUCCAUAACCAUGUCACCAAUUCAUUGCUUUAUGGAGAUCUAGGGAGACAGCUGUGCAGCUGCAGAGGUUACAGCAGAAUUGAGCCUGGGGAGAGAGUGGGAUGGUCUCCAUUCUCUGCUAAUGCUGGAGAGCAUUAGGGCAAGUCUGUCUCUCUGAGUCGUGGAUCAAAUUUCUGAAUGUGGAUCAUGAAUGAGGGACCCCGAAUGACUCUGGUACUCAGUCUUUCCAGAACUCUUAGUAUGUCACAGAACCACAGAAUCAUGGAAUAAGCUGAGCUGGAAGGGACACACAAGGAUCAUCGAGUUCAACUCCUGGUCCCGCACAGCCCCAUCUCCAAGGGUGUCAUGUGUCUGCCAACAGCACAUAAGAUUUGUGUGAUAAGCAACAGUUUGAUUGUUUUUCAUAAAGGAUUUUGAUCUGCUCAUGUUGAAGUCUAUAGGACAAAAAAAGGCUGAACGUGGCUCAUGUUUAUCAGUGUGGAUGCACUAAAGCAGUAAUGAUUUUUUUGUUAGACUGAAGUUCCUUUAAAAACCCGUAACAGUGUCCUGCAGUGUUUAUUGCUAUGAGAUAUGUCUUCAAACCACAGCUGAAUUUCACAUGUGCUAUCAGGGUGCCUUUACCAUCAGCUCUUUUAGAAUAUGCACUUUUGUGCUUUCCCUGUCUUUACCCACUUUUCCUUUAGUGGGAUAUCUGCGAAUUAAUCCUGAAAAACGCCAGUACUAAACCUUGCUCUAUUCAAGAAAAAUUCAGAUCAUGAAUAAAAAGGAUCUGGAUUUACAUCUCAUUACAGCAAGUAUGAAACCAGCUCUUAUAUUUCUUUGAUGUCUGGCAUAUUUUAACUGAUGGUGAUCUUGAACCAAAUGUUGGAUGGAUGUGUCUUAAAUUACAUAAUUUCUAUCUAAAGGUAUUUCAUUGCAUUUUUCAAGAAGAAUAGGGAAGUGCAGGUUGAGAGAAGAAUUGUUUUUAAUUGAAAUGUUAGGUGUCUCAUGUUUAUUCAAUAAAUGAAUCUAUUAUGAUAGUGCUGUUUCCAGAGAAACUUUGAAAAUUAUUCCCUAGAAACAAAAUUAAGAUCAAUUACCUCCUGCAAAAGUGCUAUACACUUCCAGAGUGGCAAUGGCAUGCAACAGUAAUAGUGGCAAAGCCAGGCUUUUUUCCCUUUAGUAUAUCAGCCAUAGUCAUCAGCUGCUUCUUUCUUUGUCCUAAUAAGGGAAUUAUGAGGAGAAAGUGCUAUUAACAUCAGCAGAGAUGUUUUCUUGCCAGUAUAUGCCCUUUUCCUAUAUGGUGUUGAAGUAUCUUUUGAAAAAGUGUCCUCUCUGUGCCAGUGUGACAUCAAGAGCAAUCUCACAGCAAAGGAGGUCCCUUACCAGCUAGUUCCUGCCACAGGGUAGACUUCCUCUGAUGACUCAGCCAAAAGUUGGGUACUGGGUUUAUUUUCUCUUCAAACGCUGCUAAUGGCCAUCAAUAGCAAAUCACAGGGGGAUUCAGAGCCCUUCCUUCAGCAAUGUAAGAGAAAAAUAGAUUUCUACAGGUGGAAGAACAGCAUGAAAUGCUGCAGAAAUAACUCCUGUAAUGAUUCAUGAAUCUAAUUAUUAUUGUAAUUAAUGAUGAUACCAUGCUUAGAGCCAUUAGUACAAAUCUCAAAUAAA